UAUUACGACUCAACGACUAAC
ensembl:piRNA 21ur-3627 ncRNA